GGUGACUGUUAAACAGUCUGAUGGCCUGGAGAUAGAAGCUGUUUCUCAGUCUCUCGGUCCCUGCUUUGAUGCACCUGUAAUGUCUCCUUCUUCUAGAUGGUAACGGGAUGAACAGGCUGUGGCUUGGGUGGCUGAGGUCCUUGAUGAUCGUCUAGAUGGUAGCCGGGUGAACAGGCUGUGGCUUGGGUGGCUGAGGUCCUUGAUGAUCUUCUAGAUGGUAGGGGGGUGAACAGGCCGUGGCUUGGGUGGCUGAGGUCCUUGAUGAUCUUCUAGAUGGUAACAGGGUGAACAGGCUGUGGCUUGGGUGGCUGAGGUCCUUGAUGAUCUUCUAGAUGGUAGCAGGGUGAACAGGCUGUGGCUCGGGUGGAGGAGGUCCUUGAUGAUCUUCUAGAUGGUAGCAGGGUGAACAGGCCGUGGCUUGGGUGGCUGAGGUCCUUGAUGAUCUUCUAGAUGGUAGCAGGGUGAACAGGCUGUGG
rnacentral:lncRNA from 1 species